GAUGAACGCUGGCGGCGUGCCUAAUACAUGCAAGUCGAGCGAACGGACGAGAAGCUUGCUUCUCUGAUGUUAGCGGCGGACGGGUGAGUAACACGUGGAUAACCUACCUAUAAGACUGGGAUAACUUCGGGAAACCGGAGCUAAUACCGGAUAAUAUUUUGAACCGCAUGGUUCAAAAGUGAAAGACGGUCUUGCUGUCACUUAUAGAUGGAUCCGCGCUGCAUUAGCUAGUUGGUAAGGUAACGGCUUACCAAGGCAACGAUGCAUAGCCGACCUGAGAGGGUGAUCGGCCACACUGGAACUGAGACACGGUCCAGACUCCUACGGGAGGCAGCAGUAGGGAAUCUUCCGCAAUGGGCGAAAGCCUGACGGUGCAACGCCGCGUGAGUGAUGAAGGGCUUCGGAUCGUAAAACUCUGUUAUUAGGGAAGAACAUAUGUGUAAGUAACUGUGCACAUCUUGACGGUACCUAAUCAGAAAGCCACGGCUAACUACGUG
rnacentral:rRNA from 1 species